GAAAACAUGAAAUUCUCGCUCACUUUCCUAUUAGUGAGCCUUCUCAUUCUUGUCCCGCACGUGACGGUCGCCGAAAGUGAUGCAGUUGUAAGUUUUUUCGUUUUUUAAGUCAAAAAUUUGAAUUUCCCGCUAAAAAUUGGUUAAAACCCCGAAAAAUUGAAUUAUUUCCAGAAAGACGUGGAUACCGUCGACGUGAAGCUCGAUGAGACCGCUGUAGUGGAGAAAACUGAAGAAAAAGAGGCACAGAAGGAGCACAAGGUGCGGAAAAGCGAAAAAUCGAUAAAUUCAGGCGGAAAAUUUGUUAAAAUCUCUAUCAAUCAAUUUUCUAACAAAAAGCUCUGAAAAAAACAAUUUUUCACCUGGAAAUCUCCAAAAUUAUCAAUUUUUCAAUCAAAAUCCUUUGAAAAUUCGAAUUUUCAACCAAGAAGUGUAUUUUUCCACAUAAAAAGCUCAGAAAAAGUCGAUUUUGCGACUAUAAAAGCUUCAAAAACCCGACUUUUCCUCCUAAAAAUGCCAAAAAUAUCCAAAAACUCAAUUUUCCACCAAAAAAACAUUUUAAAAAUAUAGUUUUCACCUCAAAAACGCCUCAAAAAACGAAUUUUAUCAACUAGAAAGCUGUGAAAACCGUUUUUUCUAAUCAAAAACCGCAUAAAAACUCAAUUUUUCACCCGAAAAAUUCAAUUUUCUAACAAAAAAUAACCGAAAAAUCCCAAUUUUUCCCAUCAUUUAAAACGCCAAAAACCUUCAAAAAAUCAAUUUUUCACAUAAACAGUGUCGGAAAUCCCAUUGUUUCAGCUAAAAACGUUCAAUAAACUCUUUUUCAAACGAAAAAAUUCUAAAAAUCACAAUUUUUCAUAUAAAAAUCACAUGUUGAGAUAAAACCAAAAAUAUCGUUUUUUCACUUAAAAAACUCGGAAAAAAUCAACUUUCUAACAAAAAAUUACCGAAAAAUCACAAUUUGCCUAUCAAAAACUUUUAAAAUUCAUUUUUCCACCUUAAAAACUCUAAAAAUCACAAUUUUCCUAUUAAAAACCUUUUAAACACUCAUUUUUUACAUAAAAAGUGUCGGAAAUCCCUUUUUCUACCUAAAAACCUUCAAAAAUUAUCAAUUUUCCACUCAAAAACCGCCAAAAACCUCCAAUUUUCCACCCAAAUCCCUCUAAAAGUCCCCAAUUUUUCAGAAAAUCUCCUCAGAAGACAUUUCAUUCUAUCACGGAUUUCUCGCCUCAUUUUCAGUGAUUGUUGUAUCAGAAUUGGGUGAUAAAACAUGGUUUAUCGCAGUUAUUAUGUCAAUGAGACACUCUCGUCUUACUGUAUUCUCUGGUGCAAUGGGUGCUCUUGCUUUGAUGACUGUACUCUCCGCAUGUCUUGGAUGG
rnacentral:sRNA from 1 species